UACGUAGGGCGCAAGCGUUUAUCCGGAAUUAUUGGGCGUAAAGAGCUCGUAGGCGGUUUGUCGCGUCUGCCGUGAAAGUCCGGGGCUCAACUCCGGAUCUGCGGUGGGUACGGGCAGACUAGAGUACUGCAGGGGAGACUGGAAUUCCUGGUGUAGCGGUGGAAUGCGCAGAUAUCAGGAGGAACACCAAUGGCGAAGGCAGAUCUCUGGGCCGUAACUGACGCUGAGGAGCGAAAGCGUGGGUAGCAAACAGG
rnacentral:rRNA from 1 species